AUUUGCACAAGGUCUGGUCUGUGGAGGCCUCUGUACAUGUGUGAGGAGGGGUAAGACAGAAAAAGGGACCUGAAAUAAGCACCCGCUUUCCCCCGCAGAGAUGCCCACGCAGUGGGGAAAGAGUUGUGGCCUAGGAAAAUACGGCACUUAUCUUCCGCAUAGUGGAAUUGUCAGCAGAGUAACCAGUCUUGAGUGAGUCCCUGUUCUGUUAGAUUAGUGCUGUCACCCGAUUCCCGGUUGAUAAACAUGAUUGCCCAUAAUGAGGCCCCCUAGGAGGAGGAGCAGAAGGGACUCUAGGCAGUGGGUGUGAAGGUUGCUGCAUGCCUCCUCUCAGCCCCAGUGUGGGGUUUGCUUGUCCCCAGGCUGCAUCCUGUUAUGGAGCCUCUGAUGGACCAGCAGCUGUGUGUUUCUUCUGGGAGGAGCUGCUUCAUGUCGGUGUUCUGAGCACCCAUGUCUUGUGACCAUUCAUCUCCCAGGGAAACAGCCAGGAACAGGAUUCCUAGAGCUGUCCUGUUGGCAGGCUGUCCUCUGCAGAUAAUACUAAGCACCGCUGGAGGGCAACAGCCAAGGUACUUAGCAUCUGGAAGAGAAGUUUUCAAUAUGAGAUACAUGCUCUGGUGAUUUAGCAGUGAUGUCUCUAGGAAAGGCGCCCUGUGGGGAAGCUGAUGGUGUCUGAUGAUGUCCAUUCAUCUCUCCAUUACUAGCAGCUACUGACAUCUGCUGUGGGCUGGAGAAGGAAGCCUUGUCCUCGAACUCCAGUGACUGGGAGGAUUCAGCUACAGUUUAAUGGAGGCUUCAUUUGGAGGGAGUAACCAAAAUACAGUUCUAGAGACCUCUACAUGUGUCUGAGAUAAUGAAGACAUCUCCAACAAUUUUCAUGAACGUCCACAUUUUCCCAAUGACUGCUUUGGCCACUCGUUCCCAUAACAGGGCAAUACUACGACUUCAGGAAGCAUUGUUUUGAUUCACUCGUUUACCCACUCACUCAGGAAAGCAACACUUCCCGGGACUAUCAAGUCACAGUCACAAACCUGAGAGAAGCCAAAAGGAUGAAAGCUUGAUUUUACCCUAUAUUCAUGUGGAGAACCAGAUGGAGGAAAAGUAGAAGAGCAAAGUCAUCUGUCAGUUCCCCUCAGACCUGGAACCAGACAAAGAUAUCAACUCUCACCACUCUUAUUUCAUGAAGUAUUGGAAGCCUCAUCAAGAGCAGUCAGGGCUGUCACUCUCUGGGAUCAGGACAAAGUAGGGUGGUCACUCCCAGAGGGGUGGAACAAAGCAGUACUGUCAAUCCCAGGGGUUGGGAAAAAGCAGGGCUGCCAAGCCCAGAGGUGGGGGACGAAGCAAGACUGCCACAGCCAUAGGGCCAGGAAAAAGCAGGGCUGUCACUCAUAGAGGGCCAGGACAAAGUAGGGAUUUCACUCCCAAAGGGGCAGGAUAAAGCAGCACUGUCAUUCCCAGGGGUCAGGACAAGGCAGGGCUGUCACACCAAGAGGGGCAUAACAAAGUAUUACUGUCAAUCCCAGGGGGUGGUACAAAGCAGGGCUGUCACUCCCUGAGGGGCAGGACAAAGCAGGGCUGUCACUCUCAGGGAGCAGGACAAGGCAGGGCUGUCAGUCCCAGGGGGCAGGUCAAAGCAGGGCUGUCACAGCAAGAGGGGUGGGACAAAGCAAGGCUGUCACUCCCUGAGGGGUUGGACAAAGCAGGGCUACCAAUCUCAGGAAGCAGGACAAAGCAGGGCUGUCAUUCCCAGGGGUCAGUACAAAGCAGGGAUGUCACUCCCACAGGGGUGGGAUAAAGCAAGGCUGUCACUUCCAGGGGAGUGGGGAAAAGCAAGCCUGUCACUUCUGGAGGGCAGGACAAAGCAGGCUGCCAUGCCCAGAGGGGCGGGACAAAGCAAGUCUGCCACAGCCAUAGGACCUGGACAAAGCAGGGCUGUCAGUCCCAGGGAGUGGUACAAAGCAGGGAUGCCACACCCAGAGGGGCAGGACAAAGCAAGACUGCCACAGCCAGAGGGCCUGGACAAACCAGGUCUGUCACUCUGACAGGGGCAGGACAAAGCAAGGCUGUCAGUCCCUGGUAUGUGUAACUGCUCCAGUCUGUAAAGAUGGAAGAAUUUAGCAGCCAGAUUUAUCUAAAUCUUAGGGGAGUAUAGUUAACAUUAAAAAAGGAAAAAGAAGUAAAAGCAGAGCCAGGGCCAUGGCAUAGUAAGCUAAUCUACCUGCAGCACCAGCAUCCCAAUAUGUGUGCAGUUCAUAUCCCAGCUGCUGCACUUCUAAUCCAGUCUCUGUUAUGGCAUGUGUAAGCAGUGGAAGAUGGUCCAAGUGCUUGGACCUCUGCACCCAUAUGAACACCAAGAAGAAGCUCCUGGUUCCUGCCUUUGGAUCAGCUAAGCUCCAGACAUUGUGGCCACUGGGCAAUGAACAAGGAGACAGAAGACAUUUCUCUCUGUCUCUCCCUCUGUCUGUAACUCUGCCUCUCAAGUAAAUAAAUAAAAUCUUAAGAAAGAUUUGUUACUCUCCUCCUAUUGAAUCCACUCUCACCUGUUCUAACACUGGAUAGCAAUCUUUAGUAAUAUUCAUGAAGCACCUGACUCUCCCGUGUCUUUGGUCCCCUCUUCUUAACCAUAGUACUCAUUACUGAAGCUCAGGGCCCUAAUUUCAGUACCUGAUGUAUUAUUACUGCUCUGAGUCACCCAAAUCAUUCAAAACAACAUGCAACACUGACCUUCACCUGUAGAUGGAGCUCUGAAGGUCAAAAGAGAGAAGGGAGCAAAACCUGUGGACACAUUUUGGGUGGCAAUGGUUCACAUUAAAGCUCAGGGGAAAUGUCUAAGACUCUCCUCAGCCCUAUUACCAAUCACUCACCACUGGCUUUCCUAUCUUGAUCUGAUAACCUCUUCACAGCUGUGGGCAGCCACAGGCAGUCACUCCCUUUGUUUACACUUAACCAUAUGGAUGGAGACUUCCUGGCACAGACAAUUAGACUAAGGAGAUUCCAGGAAGAGGCAGGAAGAACCUUAUCUCACUACUAUAUCUCUCACAAGAGAUGAUAUAGAUAAUCAGUCACACCUGAAACCUGCAUUUAUCACCUAAGUGUAAUCAAUAAUUAAGAACCCUAUCUGGAACUCUUUGUAUCCUUAAAAGCCUUUUUGAUAUGUAAAUCUUUUGUGCUCCUUCUUGUAAACAACUGGUCAUGUUUAAAUACUACUGGAUUUGUUGAA